GAUGAACGCUGGCGGCGUGCCUAAUACAUGCAAGUCGAGCGAACGGACGAGAAGCUUGCUUCUCUGAUGUUAGCGGCGGACGGGUGAGUAACACGUGGAUAACCUACCUAUAAGACUGGGAUAACUUCGGGAAACCGGAGCUAAUACCGGAUGAUAUUUUGAACCGCAUGGUUCAAAAGUGAAAGACGGUCUUGCUGUCACUUAUAGAUGGAUCCGCGCUGCAUUAGCUAGUUGGUAAGGUAACGGCUUACCAAGGCAACGAUGCAUAGCCGACCUGAGAGGGUGGUCGGCCACACUGGAACUGAGACACGGUCCAGACUCCUACGGGAGGCAGCAGUAGGGAAUCUUCCGCAAUGGGCGAAAGCCUGACGGAGCAAAGCCGCGUGAGUGAUGAAGGUCUUCGGAUCGUAAAACUCUGUUAUUAGGGAAGAACAUAUGUGUAAGUAACUGUGCACAUCUUGACGGUACCUAAUCAGAAAGCCACGGCUAACUACGUG
rnacentral:rRNA from 1 species